rnacentral:lncRNA from 1 species
CGUCUUUCAUGUCAGAGGAAACGAUAUCAGGAUAUAAAUGGUGGUUUAGUUGUUAGUAACGUUGCUACGUCAGAUGUAGAAGCCAUCUUUCCGCUUGGCCCAAUUUCAGAUGAGACAUCUCCGCGGGUCUGCCUGUCAUCAUCCUCUGUCUGGGCUUGCCGUAGCUGACGACAUAGACUUUUCACCAAAAAAAUCAGAAAGUCAGAACACUUUUCUGCGAUUGAUACAUCUUGUUUACAUAAACUAAUUGAUGAUACAUAAAAGACCGUGCAUACUGCUUUAGAAAUGAUUGAACGUUAUCCUCAUAUUUCCAUUCUUGUUACAUUUGGAUACAUACGAGUUUAACUCCUACGAACACAUUUUUUUUUAA